CAGUUCGGACUGGAGUCUGCAACCCGACUCCACGAAGCUGGAUUCGCUAGUAAUCGCGCAUCAGCCACGGCGCGGUGAAUACCGUUCCCGGGCCUUGUACACACCGCCCGUCAAGCCAUGGGAGCCGGGGGUACCUGAAGUGCGUAACCGCGAGGAGCGCCCUAGGGUAAAACUGGUGACUGGGGCUAAGUCGUAACAAGGUACC
rnacentral:rRNA from 1 species